rnacentral:rRNA from 1 species
CAAAAAACAGCUCCCGGGCUCCCCGCGCUGCUUCUUGCCACAAUUCAACACCGUCGGAAAGCGAAGAAAUGCAUCCAAGCGCGGGUAAACGGCGGGAGUAACUAUGACUCUCUUAAGGUAGCCAAAUGCCUCGUCAUCUAAUUAGUGACGCGCCAGAAUGGACUAACGAGAUUCCCACUGUCCCUGCGGGUACUCCGGCG